UUUUCGUUUUGCAACGAGGAAGCACGGACAAAAGUUGGAUGUGUUCGGAUUCUGGAGACGAUCGCCAUCGACGCCGAAUCGAAGCUUCAAAUCGCAGGGAAAGAUGGGUUGCUCUCCGAAUUGUUGGUUCUGGUCGGAACAGAGAGCACAGAUCAAGUGGCAGGGGAUUUGCGGAAGAUUGUCAGAGUGAGCUGCAAGUCCUGUCUUUCCAUGCGGACUCUCCAAAAAAUAUCCACAAAGUUAAAUGUCCCUAAUUGGAGCUUCAACCAAAAUUCUUGCAGAGAGGGCCAUUCUCUAAACGUGACAUAUAGUAAUACCAGUUUGAGCAAUAUCACAUGUGACUGCUCUUUUGAUAAAAAUACUGUUUGCCAUGUCAAAACUAUAUUCCUGCUUGGAUCGUAGCUGGCUGAAAGGUCUCAACUUAAGUGGAGUUUUUCCUGCAGAAUUUGGAGAUCUUAGUUACCUACAAGAAAUCGAUCUCACUUACAACUAUAUUAGUGGCUCAAUUCCUGCGAGUUUGUCUAAGACCUCUCUCACUAGUAUUGGCUCAUUGAACAGUUUUAUAGUUGGAAAAUUUGUAACUUUCCUAAGGAAAUUGGGGACAUUGCUACUCUUCAGCAUCUUGUUUUGGAAGAUAAUCAGCUUAGUGGAUCGCUUCCUGAAAAUCUUGGAAAUUUGAGGCCCUUGAUCAGACUCCUUCUCUCUGCAAACAAUUUUACGGGAACAAUACCAGAUACAUUUAGAAACUUGAAGAACCUGACGGACUUUAGGGUUGAUGGGAAUCAAUUGUCUGGGAAAAUACUAGAUUUGAUUGGGAGUUGGACAAAAUUAAAAAGACUAGAUAUUCAAGGCACAUCCAUGGAGGGCCCCAUUCCUUCUACUAUAUCUUCUCUAACAAAUUUAACCCAAUUGAUGAUAUCUGAUUUGAAAGGAUUGAGUUCUAGAUUCCCUGAUUUGCGGGCUAUGAAAAACAUCAUAUAUCUGACACUCAGAAAUUGCUUAAUCAUCAAUUCAAUCCCAGGAUACAUUGGACAAUUGACAACUCUAAAACGUUUGUAAGUUGAUGUAGAUCAAUUUUUUUGAUAGAUAAAAUGAGAUGUCGUUGCAUUUCACCAAAGGGGUUCCAAUCCAAUGACAAAAACAAGGAAGAAGAAACAGGCACCUAAAUGACAAGUGAAAAGAAUCGAUGAGAUCAAUGAUAGUUUGACUGUUCACAAUAAUGCUGCUUAUUGACCCAAAGUACGGCAUUUUAAUCCAAUUUUCCUUUACUCUGGUGACUGACAGUUCUGUGGCCUCAAAAUCCCUUUGUUAGGAGAGAAUGCUUUAUUUUAGCAGUCAGGUGGUGUGAGAUGGGUAUUUUUGUCCUCCAUGUGCUAUUGUUGUAAAUAUAUAAAGAGGGCAGACUUGGAGCUGUACAUGGGCUCCAGGGGACUGCUGACUGAUCUUCUCCCUCUAAUCUCUUCUUCUCUUCACUCCUUCUAAUCCUAUGCACUUUAUUUCUCUUAAUUUGAAACUUCAAUUAAUUGCAGAUUUGCAAGAUGGGGUUUCAGCACUAAACUUCUUAAAACCUGAUUAAUCUGGCUUAGUUGCUGCUACUUCCCUUCUUUUCUCUCCUCGUUAACUCUUAAAUAGAGAAUUCUUUAGGGUUUCAUCUCCUCUUCUCAGCCUUGAGCAACUCUUGUGGACGUUGAGUGGCUCAUGGUGGUUUGCUGAUGUAAAGACAGUCAAUACUGUUUCUUGCAGCUGGUGUUGCUGUUCUGAUGCUUCCUCUGAUUGGUUCUGGAGUGAUGGUAUUGUUAUGAUGCUGUGAGUGUACACAAUCUCCUAGUCAUGCCUGCAUAUGCUCGUAGCUGCUGCCAGGUUGUUUAUGAGUGUCCGCACUGCCAUUUAAGUGCCUGUUGUUGGGUCCAGCCCACAUAAGUAAAUAAAAAAAAAAAGAAAAGGGAAGCCCAUGUGCUUGAAGCCCAUUAGGGCAAUUAAAGGAGGCGGCAGUGUGGAGUGCUGCCACAGAGAUAAAAAAAAAUAAAAAAUGGAGCGCCGCAACCGUGAAAAAGAAGUGUGUGUGGCAGCGGUAGUGUGUUGUGCAGUCUUUAUCAAUUCGAUGAUCUGAAGGUCUUUUGUGAUCUUAUUUUGCUGAAAUUUGGAGAGCACGUUCGGAAUUUGUCGACCAUCGAUCUGGAAGGUGGAGAUCUAUUUCAGAGCUUUGGAGGACCUGAUUUUGUAGUACUAAUAGUAACUUCGUUCGGGUGACUUUUUUCCGCUCAUUCUUAUUUUAUCACGAUCCUUUUGGGAAUCCUUUUUACUCUAAGUUUGUGAGCAUUUUUGGUGAUUGUACUGCUGUAAUUUUUGCCUUUAUUAUAGUGAAAAAUUUAUUGGGUCUC